GUUAAAACACCGGUUCCUGUAUGAUCACUGAAGUUAAGCAACAUUGAGCUUAGUCAGUUCCUAGAUAGGUGACUGCUUUGGAAUACCAGGUCCUGUA